ACUUGGAUAGCUCCAUCGGUAGAGCAUGAGACUCUUAAUCUCAGGGCUGUGAGUUCGAGUCCAACUCCAACAUGGUG